CCGCGGCGCCUGGGCCGCGUGUGUCGGGCGGCGCGUCCCUCCCGCCGAGGGGGCGGCAAUGCCCCGGGCCGAGGGGGCGGCAAUGCCCCGGGCCGCGGGAGCGGCCGGGGGGAGCGGCAGCGGCCGGACCCCGGCUCUGAAGUUCCUCCGAAAAGGGCUGCUUCAUUUCUGCCCUCUCUCUCUCACAUUCCUGCAAGAUUACCGGCCAGAAAUAGCCUACGGCCACCCCCUCCCUCCGAGGAGAGAAAAAGACAAAAGGAAAAAAAAAAAAAGAGUUGUUCGAGAUUGUAAUUACCGGUUAGGUUAUGUUUUAAGACAGUAAUGAAAAACUGUUAAAAGAGCGAAGUGUGGCAGAAAGCGCGGCCGGGGGCGGUGGGAACGGAGGCUCCGCGGAGCCCGGAGGGGCGCAGCAGCGUUACGUGCCAGCGUGGGGCCGGGAAGGGCAUUUCUGUAAAGCUUCUGUUCCUGUCCCACCUGCGGUCUCAGCUACGGCUUCACCUGGGGAAGGCGCACUUCGAAGCAUGCCUAGCCCUUUCUUAGUGUAACUAUGUUGUUUGUAGUUUCAGGCUUUCCCCCACUGAUGUCUAGAGUUGUUAGCUUAUCUGGUUUUGCAGAGCUACAAACUGGUGGAAAAAAAAAAAGAGAGAAGAGAAUAAUAAUAUAAAAUGAUAAUAAAAAGACUCGACCAGGAGCAAUAAUUUAAAAUGCACAUUUUGCUUUGGAUGCACUGUUGUUCAUAUAAAAGUUGUAAAUAUUUGUUUAUUUAAACAGACUGAAAAGUGCAAAAUGGAGAUGAACAACAUGCAUUUCUUUUUUUAAUGUACAAAACAUUAUAUGCACUCAAAAUGUUAUAAUUUCUAAUAUUUUUAAAAGUUUAUAUUUGAGUUGUACAGAAUUAAGCAUUAAUCAAAUAUUUCAUUCUUACUUAACAUUAUCAUUUCCUUAAGAUAUUAUUGCAAGAUUUAAAUUCUGUGCUAAUAAUGGAGAAAAAAGAAGUUUUUUUACUGUCUACCUCACUAUAAUGCAAGUAUUUACAACUCUAAAGUUAUCUGAGGUAAAUUAAUAUUCAGAACAUUUUUACAAUACACCUUUACUGGACGAUACUACAACUAUUACUGUAUUAUUAAACUUUUUUUUUUCAAAAAGUCAACUUGCUUUUAUACGUUCUAUUAUUUGAUUAAGUAAUUAUGAGUUCUCAAGUAAACAUUGCCUCCAGUUGUCAAAUGCUGUCGAGUUAAGUUGGAGUAAGUGCCACUUUAAGACUUACCUAAAGCCAUUCUUCCUUUCUGAAGACUUUUUGUACGCUCAUAACAUCUUUAGUUUCCUCUUUAGUAUAUGCUGGUGGCAUAAAUAUGCAAGACAUUGCAUUAUGAUUUUAUGCAUUUUAUGUGGUGAUUUUUGUUAAUGUAAUUGGGGGAAUGCAUUACGUGGAAAAAUUUCAGGCAAACAUUUGUAAAUAUCAUCUGUACCGGGCACAUUUAUAUACACUGUAUUAUGAUGACAAGCGAAAGAUAAUGAAUGUUUUAUAAAUGAUAUUUAUUUUUGAUGCAAUGGGUAAUAUAUUUAUUAAAUAUUUCCUGGUUAUCUCUUAGCUAAUGAAGAACUAUUCAAUGAGUGGCUGUUUCACUAAGAGAAGAAUUGCAGUCCUCUCUCGUAGCAGUGUGUGCAGAGGCCCCGGUGCUCUGCGAGCGCAGGCGGUGAGGGGGCUCGUAGCUGGAGUCUCUUAGGAGAAAGGUUCAUCUCAAAUGCACGAGGGCUGAAAGAACCGCUCACCUGGUAGGAGCUGUGGAAUGUGUUUGAAAACAAGGUUCUUUUCAUGGCAAGUGGAAUUUUUACCAGAUCACAAGAUCUGAUCUCACACGUUUUUCUCUGGCAAACGCUCCCUCCCUCGGACUCGGACUUGAACAAAGGAUUCCGGAAUCGCACCCGGGAUUUUGAAUACCGGCAGCUGAGGGACCACUGCGAGGGUCCAGCCUUAGUCUGCGUGCAACUUCCAGAGGAAUACUUCUGCCCAGUAUUUAAUACCGUUUCAAGUUUGUGACUAAAAGGUUGUACUGUGGAGCGAGCGUCCGCUCUCAUUGUAACCGAAGGCAAUGGAAAAAUGGCACAAAGAAAAUCUGCGUCCCAGCAAGCUGGAAUACACUCUAGAAAGAAAGGCAAUCAAGACAGGUAAGACGCCAUAAACUGGAAAUGACCAUGAUGUAAAAAUCUGAAAUUUUACAAAAUUCACAGAUAGCAAAGCAUUUAAAGGCUGAAUGAAGUGUUGCUUGAUUUCACUGUCCAGUGAGCAAGUGAAGCAUCAGAUGUAUAGACAUUGCUUCAGCUAAAAUAAUACACUGUGUUUUUCAAUGCAAGUCCCUUUUAGUAUAAAAACACUAUUGUUUCUAUUACUAGCUCUUCCAUCACAGGCUUACUAGCAAGCUGUGUUAUCACUGAGCUGUCUUUCCUGAUACACCUCAGAAGUUGUACUGGGGAGCUUCGUCAGACAAAAUACACCUCUGAGAGGCCUGAGAAAUCUCUCCUUAGAGGAGCUCUUCAAAGCAGCAGCAUGGAAGAUUUUGCUGUCUUGGAUGUACAUUGCAGAGCUAUUUGUACCAUCUCCUACGUUAGCUGAUUUUUGGGGAACAUCUUUGAUGGCCAGAAAAGGUUUGAAAGCCCACGUGUGUCCCACUUCUUCCCAAGUGGCUGUGCUUGUUGACCUCCAGGCAAGUAAGAGGACCUGAAAAGGCACAAAUAUGGUCAGAAUCUGGAGCAUCUAUUUUGGAGACAAACCUUUUGGAUUUUACUAUUAGAAGAGAGGAAACGCUGGCCUUUUUGAGCAUGUCUUUUGGAUGCUAUAGUUAAUAUAACGUUAGCUAAGCCUAUUUUGGCAAGUCUGCUGUUCCUAAAGAUGGGAUCUCUGUUCAUUUCCUUUUUUAGUUCUGCAAUAUUCUUUUGUACAAAACUGAGAAGGAGCAGUAUGAUUUUGAAAAGGAGAUAUGUAAAGAUAUAGCAAAGCUGAUUGAUUGUCUUUCCUUCCUUGCACCUCCCUUUCUCUCUCCCUCUCUCCUGCCCACCCCCCAAGUGCUCAUCAGUGAACUGAACAAAAAAUACCGGUGAUUAUUUUUUCAGCUUUUACCACAAAUACUGAAAGCUUUUGUUACAGAGCAAUCCAAAUACGUUAAUUUGGCGGAAGUGUAGCUCAGAUCUCUCUGUCCUGCCAAAGUAAUACGAAUUUUCUUUUCCAUUUCUCAACUCCCCAUGCUCAAAAUCAUAUUCAAAAAGGGGAAAUAAUUUCUUUUAUUAUGUUGCCGGCCAGAAGAGGGAGCAGAAUCUAUUAUGUAAUGGGAAUAGAUAGCAGCAAAUAAAAGACAGCUGAAGUGAGUCCGUUUGAUUGUGUGAUGUGUAUCAGCAGACGUUUUGCAAUUCAUUGAUCUCAUUGACUGUGUUGCUCAAACACAAGAAAACCACUGACACUUCCUUGAAAUAUAGGUAUGGAACAGAACAACUAAAUAGAGAGUAUUUGCAUGAAAAAAAUAGAAUAGGGCUUAAGCCCUUCCUUUGUAAGUGCUGCUCCUCCUUUUUAGACCCCAAACUCCCUCUUACAUUGACUUAUGGGGGCUCUCAUAAUUUUGCAAAUGAUAUGUGUGGGAAAAUAGUGGAAUGCCCUCCUUGACCAAUCUUCUUCCUCACUAGCUCCAUGUUGGUGAGAGGUCAGUUUACUGAAAUGUGUAAAAUAAGCAUGCUUGUUUUUACACAGAUGUGAGACCAGAAGUACCUCAAAUGUUAGUUGGGGGACAGAGUUGAUCAUAUUGUGUAGAACAUGUUUCUUUAUAAUCUCUUAAUCUUUGCUUCAAAAGCCCAUCUGAAGCCUUGAGGAAGUCAAAUGACUGAAAUUUAUACUUGUCAAUCAUCCAGAGUCUAGGCAGCAAAACAGUGGGUUUCAAUAGCAUAUAGUUUGUUCAGCUAUACAGAGGCCCAUGUACUGUAAAGGAGUACACUACUUUAGAAUGGGGUUCUCUUGUCAGCAUUCAGCUCUAUUAUACGAUUAGAUUUCCAAAUAUUUGCUCUUGUUUCUUUACAAUGUCAGACUGGUUGUAAACUGUGGAUGUUCCAGCUGUUCAUUAUUGUGAGAGAGGAGAGUCAACAUAGUACCACUACUGUGCUCAUCGUCUGCCUAUUUCUUCACGACUACAGCCCUGAAAAGUAACACUUGUCCAAGCAAUAUUAGUUAACAUGCAUUAUUAUUUAGCACAUUAUAUUGCUGAGAAUUAAAACGGGUUCUCCCAGUGAUUUAACCUGAGCUAAUUUUGCACUGCAUCAGCCUGGAGCAGUGUAUGGGAUGCUAUAUUCAACCAUGUGUUGUCAUUUUGGCCACCUCAGUCUGUCACAGAACUAGAAUUGGUUUUAACUAGGUGAGCAGACAACCCUUUUCCUGGAACUGAGAAGUCUAAAAUCAGGGUGGGGACUUUUAUCCCAUAAGGCCACUUUUCCUGCUAAUAGCUUUCUGCCCCAUUUUUUUUUUCAAAGACUUUUUGGAGAAGUUUCAUCCUGCAGACCAUUGUUUAAUCUGUGGAAGAUGGUUAUUUUUCUGAAUGUAAGGAUUUUAGUACACUUAAUACUUAGGAGAGUACUAGGGUAGAAUAAGUGAGAAGAAUCCCAGGGUACCAACAUGCCAAUCUAACAACGAGAGCUUUGAACUGGGUGGCUGAGAAGGAGCUCAGGUGAAGAAGAAAAUUGGUGGUUUAGCUGACAAUUCAUUUCUAGGGUGGAAGUGGGAAAUUGCAGGAGGGCCGUAGAAGAACAAAAGGGAUAACAUAAGGGCAAACUGCCAAACAUCUGAGAUGUCUUUACACUAAUGCUAAGAGUAUGGAGAAUAAACAGGAAGAACUAGAAGUCUUGGGACACAACAAAGGCUACAGUUUAAUCAGCAUCACACAGACUCAGCGGAAUAAAUUGCUGCACUUGAAUAUUAGCAGAGAGUAUAAUUUGUGUAGGAAGGACAGGCAGAAAAAAAGGGAAGCAUAUUAUCUGGUAUAUUAGGAAUGUGUGUAAGGCCAGAAAGAGGGGAGGGACAGACUUGUUGAAGAUAAAAUGGAGAGGAACUGUAAAGCUCUCCUAACGAUUACUUAAUGAGGAGGAGGAGGAGGUCAAUGUAACAUUUUUCGAGCAACUACUGGGAGUGUCCAGAGGAUACGAGGUAGUGGUAAUCAAGGACUUUAUCUAGCCAGAUAUUUUCUGGAAGAAAAAAACCCAGCAGAACACAGACAGUUUCUCAAGUUUUUGGAAUGUGUUGGGACAACUUUUUGUUUCAAACAGCGGAGGCAGUUACAGGAGACAUGGCCAGAUAAGGCUAUGAUAGAUAUGACUAAUAAAGAGCAACUUGCUAGAAGGUGAUUGGAGCUCAUGUGUCUGUGGAAAAGGAUUGAGAGGAGGAGAGCAACACUAAGUGAUUCCUAUAAAGCAGAUUUCCAUAAUUUCAGGGAACUGAUAGAGAAGGUUCUGCAGGGAGGAACUGGAAGGAGAAAGGAGUUGAAAGGCAAGCUGGAAAAAGGCCCUGUAUUAAAGGCUCCAUAAGAAGCCGUCCUUCUGGGGCAGCAUAGUAAGACGUCAGGGAGACUGAGUCAAGAGCUGCCUGGUCAUCUGAAAACAAGGAGGCAACUCACAAAAAGUGAAAGAAGAUGCUGCACUAGGAUAAGAGGAAGGCUAAAAUCUAAAGAAUGUUAAAGGCACUAGAAAUAGGAAUAAGAAGAAAAGAAAGAAAAGGAUUAUCACUUCACUGGAAUGGUGAACAAAGGACAAAUGACAGACAGCAAAGUGUGGAGCACCUUAUUCUUUGGACAUAAGGCAUACCUGGUACCAGAGGUCUAACACAAUUAGGGCUAGCAAGAGAAUUGAAAGCCAGGCCAGAUCAGGGAAAGAAAGGUGAAAGAAUAUCUGAAUAAAACAUUCAAAGCAGGAUGCCCCAAUGACAUUUACUCUGGCAUAAGCAAAGAAAUAAGCACAGCCACUUCUGAAAUACUAAGAAUUAUCUUUAAGAACACACAGAAGAAUGAUGAAGUACCCAGAAGUUACACAUUAGCCAACUUGCCUCAAAUACUUUGAAAAAUACUGAAAAAAAUUAAAUGCUCGAUAAAAUAGCAAUCGCAGAAUAAUAACAUGAUAAAGACAUCCAACAUGAAUUUGUACAGAACAAAUCAUAUCCAGCUAGUCUCAUUUUCUUCUUUGAUAAAGGUGAAGUGAAACUCAAGCACUUAAGAAGAGGGAGUUCCAAAUUAGCUUGCUACAUUAAAGAAGUGGUUUGGGAUAUGUACAAUGAAAUGUAAUAGUAACAAGUGCAAAAUGUUACACUUAAGGAGGGAUAAUCUUAUGCAUGAGAUGCACAAUGGAGAAUUUGGCUAAAUAAUGCUUCUGCAGGAAAGAAUCUGGUCUUUAUAGUGGAAUAAAAAUCUGCAUAUGAGUUAACAAAACAAUGCUGUUGCCCUGUUCCAGGACGUAUGAAGAUCAUUUUCUGAUGUCUUCUGGACCAUUGGUGGUCUGCCGAUCACAGACUGAGUAACACUGCCUGGUGAUUAAGUGUAUCAGGCAUGACAGGUACAUAUGUAAGACUGGGCAGUUCAUGCCUGGGUUGUGCUAGAGUCCACAAACCGGGCGUGCUUUGGCUUCUCUCUUUCUGUGCUCUGAGAGGUAUUUUGAGAAAUGACUGCCAGGAUGGGCCUUGCUCGGUUCAUCGGAAGAGGGAGCAGUGUGGCUCCCAGGCCCUCCGUGCACAGAGCACUCUCCACAGCAUUGCAGCUCAUAAGGUCUUUUCGUCGUUAACUGCCUGAGAACAAGGAGAUUUGGAUACCAUGGCACUCCUAAAAAUUCCCUUAUGUACUCUUCUUCAAUUAACUCCCUUGAGAAAUACAGGCCUAAAUUUUCCUCUUAAAGUGGGAAUAAGGGGAUUUAUUGCAAUGCCUAUUGUGGCACCUAAACUGGACAGUACUCCUGCGGAGAUGUCAUUAGUACUGAGCAGAGUGGAAUAAAGGUCUCCCAUAGCUUUAUAUAAGGCUUUCUUUUUAAUACAGCCAGCUGAAUGCUUGAGAAUAAGACCUUUUGUUCAGUCCUACUCCAGCAGAGUCCUGUACUUGGUUAGAGCCUCUUGUUGCUAUCAUAAAACAAACAAUGGUUUAUGGCAUGACAGCAAUGUGCUAUUUUGAUGGGCUUCUGUGAAUUUACCAGACUCAAGCUGUUUUUGAUGCUUGAUGUGUUCCAAUGAGACCAAAAAAACCCCAAACCCCAACUUCCUCACCCCCCCCCCCCCCGUUGUCUCAACUUUCCAGUGCAUAUUGUGCACCCGACCCUGCUCGUGUACUACAGUGGACUUGCAAAUACUUUUCAGAGACUGUUCUCUGUCCUCAAACAUGUCAGUCUGGAAUUUCUGUUGUUCUGUUUGUCAUUUACUAUUCAUAUUGGUUCGUGUGAUGAACUCUGCAGAGGAGAUUUGGAUCUUAUUGUGACCAGGUAAAAGCCACAGAUCUGGAUCAUAUUACUGGCCAGGUAAAAGCACACAGAAAGCUCUGGUCCAUCAUGUGCCAGAAGUCCUGCAAACUUGAGAGAAAUCAGGUCUUGAAUGUGUUUGUGUCAGGACCUCUGAACAGCAGUGAACUGAAUCUUCCUAGUCAGCCUAUUCAUAUAUCUGUUUCACUACUGAGUAAGAUCAGCAUUGAGUAUGUCACAGGCUCCCAAAUGUUCGUUGCUUUGUUCUGUUAUUUUGGAGUGAAAUAAAUUACUGCUGUCACCCGGAACUGGAACUCUAUAAAACAUCCUCCUGUUCCUCUUUGCCAAUAUCUAACACCAAGCCCUGUAAGCAGACUAUUUUCAUUCACAGUGCUGAUGUUAUACUGCUCCUACUAUCUAUCAUUCAACUGAUCUUUCUUUUUGUUCUUGUAGACCAGAGUUCCACAAACCUAUUUAACCUGGGAUGUACCUCUGCCAAAGACGGCUCUGCUGGGAGACAGUGCAAACAAAUUCAUCACUGACAAACCAGGCAGCAGAGCCGUCAAACAUAAAACAGCUACAGCAAGUCUGGCUGAAAGGUUUGGGGAGAGAUAGAGGAAAUAAAGAAGAAUUGUUCAUCAUUUAAGGA